AUUGAACGCUGGCGGCAGGCUUAACACAUGCAAGUCGAACGAGUGGCGGACGGGUGAGUAAUGCUUGGGAAUCUCGCUUAUGGAGGGGGAUAACUACGGGAAACUGUAGCUAAUACCGCGUACCAUAGGAUGAGCCCAAGUGGGAUUAGGUAGUUGGUGGGGUAAAGGCUCACCAAGCCGACGAUCUCUAGCUGGUCUGAGAGGAUGACCGGCCACACGGGGACUGAGACCCGGCCCAGACUCCUACGUGCGGCAGCAGUGGGGAGUAUUGCGCAAUGGGGGCAACGUGACGCAGCAAGGCCGCGUGAAUGAAGAAGGCCUUCGGGUUGUAAAGUUCUUUCGGUAGCGAGGCGUUAGCUACAGAAGAAGCACCGGCUAACUACGUGCCAGCCGCCGCGGUAAUUC
rnacentral:rRNA from 1 species